rnacentral:rRNA from 1 species
CGGACCGGCGCGACGGUGAGUAACGCGUAUGCAACUACUAUCGAGGAGGGGACGUAACCGGCGAAAGUCGGACUAAUACCGCAUGAAGCAGGGGCCCCGCAUGGGGAUAUUUGCUAAAGAUUCAUCGCUGAUAGAUAGGCAUGCGUUCCAUUAGGCAGUUGGCGGGGUAACGGCCCACCAAACCGACGAUGGAUAGGGGUUCUGAGAGGAAGGUCCCCCACAUUGGUACUGAGACACGGACCAA